rnacentral:lncRNA from 1 species
UGUCUGUAAACUCGAGAGUGAGCAAACAACACAGAAGAAUUAAAAUGCAUGAGAUUCACCUUUUCCUAGUUGAAAGGGUGUGAUAAUGUAGAGCAAGGAAUCUAUCCAAAUCGCCGCUUGAUGAAAUAUAGUUGUAGAGCAGUAGAUUAAUUGCUACUCUGUUAUUUUCCUAGCGUUUUCCCGCAUGAUCGCAUGUCACUGAAUUAUAUAUGGCAGUUGAAGCAAAACUAUCUUCAAACAUCUCACUUUGUCUCUAUAGUUGCGUAAACAUUACGGUCAAGUGAAUGAUGGAACAUUCAUAUCAAACAUUGGCAUUGCUAAACAUAAUCUACACUAUAGUUCAUGGUAUGCAAUUUCGAAUGGUACCACCCGGUAUGGGCGGUACGUACCGGUUCAACGACAUACCGGUACGCAGACCGUCCGCUACCAGACGGACCGUGCUACAGUGCUACAGUAAUACACUAUAGCAGCACUACAUUGCUACAGUGUUACACUGCAGCAAUGCUAUAGUGCUACAGUAAGAGAAAAUCGCUCGGUAAGCCCUGGUGUAUUUGAGCUAAAGAUAUAUUUCUAACUGUUAUCAUGCACGGUUUGAGCUAAACAUUAUGGUCAAGUGAAUGAUGGAACAUCCAUAUCAAACAUUGGCAUUGCUAAACAUAAUCUACACUAUAGUUCAUGGUAUGCAAUUUCGAAUGGUACCACCCCGUAUAGGUGGUACAUACCGGUCCAAUGACAUACCGGUACGCGGACCGCUCGCUAUCGGACGGACUGUGCUACAGUGCUACAGUAAUACA